GGCGAGCUGUACGACCGACGGCCACCCAGAGAGGCUGAAGGCGAAGUCAGGGCUUAGACAGCAUUCAUUUUCGCAAACCAUGCUAAUUGAAAUAACAUUUAAUAGUGAGACCGCUGGCGGCUCGGAACCAAACAAAGGGAGCCUCAGUAUUUCAGUGCCUCAAACGGCCCUCAGACAGUGAAACCCGAUGCCGUUAAGUCCCCCUGUAGACCACCGCUUCGAACCUUGCGCCUCCAGCCCAUCGAAAUGGACGCGCGUUACGGCGCACAGAGCCAGACGCAGUCGGGAAGAUCCCUAUCAGCAGAUGAUACUGUCACAGCCACGAAUAUCUGAAGAGCUUUUCUGCAACUGGGGACUUUUCUUCUGUUGGACUUUAGUCAACGGUCUCCAAAAGGCUGAUAUCUGACAGACGCAGAUACACCAGAUUUAAGAAGUGCGGUUGUGAUGGUCAACCUAACUGCCGUAAUGAUCCUGCCUGAAAAAGCCUGGGGGCUGCGUGCCGAUUUGAGUCACCGCC